AUAGUUACUUGGGACAACAGUUUUAGCAGGGCUCUCUUUCUCCUUUCCUGAUCUCUCUGUUAAGCUGCCUGGCUCAUUUGAUAUCACAUCCAAAUUAUCAGCUGAUUGCUCUAUUGUUUUGGACAAUGCCCUGAAGCAUACCAAAAUGUGUCUGGAAUUGGUGGGUUCUUGGUCUUACUGACUUUAAGAAUGAAGUUGCGGACUUUUGCGAUGUGUGAACCUCCAGAACUGUGAAAUAAACAACCUCAGUCAACAUCAAGCAGAAUUCAAAGAAGUCUAAAGUCUUAAUAAUUGUCUGUUCAGUCUGGGAGGAAAGGACUAAAAUGGCAUGAAUCCAGGUGAUCCACCCUACCACAUAUUGUCUCCUAAUGGCCGUCCAGUUUAUCCUGGAGCCCUUGCAUGACACAGGCCUAUCGAAGCAUAGGAGAUGCCAAUAUUUUACCUCUUGGGUACUUUCUGUGUAGAAGAUUCAUAACAAGAACAAUACUUAUUCUGCAAUUCUUUAUAUAAAGACUUAAUUCUGUGACCUGCGUUUGAUCCAGCCAUGUGGACUAUCACAAUCAAUAUUUUCCAGACUCUGCUCCAGACAAUGAGUAUAGCAUCUCCAUCAUCCCUCGAACUACCACUAUUUUGGGGAGCUCCUAAGAGAUGUCUCAUUAAGAAGAAAGCCCAAAGACAAAACCAGAGGCAACUGGCUGCUGCAUCGCCCACCUAGUGGCAGUAGUGUGAGCUAUGGACAAAAGAUCUAAGUCUCCAGGACAAAGAGUUGUGCAGCUGCUCAUUUUCCUGUUGACUUCUGUCUAAGACUUGGAGAUGUUUGUAAGAUUGGGACCUACCUACAGAGGUAUCACACUCCUCUUGGUCUAACUCACUCUUGAACUGACAUUCGUGGUGAAUUUCUUUUGUCACUUAGCAUAUUAGAAGAGAUGUUUUACUAUAAUUCUCACAAUCAAUCCAUAAGCAAGUGGUUAAAGGCCUUUUUGUACUUAGUUAUCUCAGCACUGUCAGGGAUGGCUAAAGAGAAUAAGCAUGGCCUCUGCUUUCCAUUUUUUAACAUAUGACAACUAAAAUACAAAAAAACACAAGUUAUGACAAACAUAUAAUGCUUCCUCUAGACAAGCAUUGCAGCUUGGCAUUGCACUAAGUGUUUUGAUACUAAUCCAUUAAAUUCUCCCACCACCCAACAACGUAGAAUAUAUCAGAGAGUGAAGCAUGGAGAAUUUAUAUAAUUUGCUCAAGGCUACAAAGCUAAUAAAUGUGGAGCCAGGAUUCAAAUGUAGGCAUUCUGAUUCCCUAGUCUAUGCUCUUACCCAGCAUGUUAUGCUGAUGCUCAAAACAGUUGAGUGUUAUAUUAAUUUAAAUAAAAAAGAUAAAUUAGAGCUAGAGAGUGUGUAAUAGGCUCCAUGGAGAAAGUCAAAUGGACUUGGAACUUGGCAACUGAAGAGACCAUGGCCAGACAAAUGGCAAGAAAUUCUGGCAAGAAGAACAAUAGGCAUGGAGUGUCCGCAGCAGAGGAAAGAAGCCAAUCUCACUACAGUGGACGGAAACAAGGAGAAAUUAAAUGAGAUCAUUAGAAUGGAAAAGAUUGUAGAAAUCCAGAUAAUUUAUAGUGAAAAUUGAAUUUCUAAGAGGGUGAAGUUAAAAUUGGGUUAAUAGACACUAUCUCAAAAAUGUAAUCUGUUACAUUACAACAGAAACAAAGCUUCUCAUGACAUGCAGAGAUCCAUAAAUGACUGUUUUACUUUUGGCAAAAUUGAAAAGAGAAUAAUAGUGACUGCAGGGUCAAGAUUAAUGCAUGCUGAUUUUUAGGUAACAUGGGAGAAUUAAAGAGCCAGAGUUUCACUACUGGCCACCAACAGUCCAUUUUAAUGUGUACUCAGUCUUUGUGACCUCUGUCCAUUAGAGAUAUAUCAAACUUGUAUUUAAACUGAAAUGUGAUUAGAGCCAUGAGGCCUGCCUGGAGGUAAAGCAGGUUGAGAAAAAUUUCCUCAAUGACACAUUCUCUAUGGAAAGUCUUUCUCAAAGGAAAAGAAAUUGUGUCCUACUGGCAAAAAGCAGAAAAGGAAGUGGGGAGGGGAAAUGGAAAAACAUCUAAACCAUCUCUGGGGAAAAGGUGAUACUAAAUAUAAACUGGCCAUCAACAUAGUGAAGCUGAAGAAGGCAAGGGGUGUCUAAAUGUAUCAUCAGAAAAGUUAAGAAACAGGGCAAAGUAGGCUAGCUUAGGAACAUCAACAGAAUAUUGGAAGAAGAACAGGGGGCAAUUUUAUAACCUCUCAAUCAUUUCCAACUUCUUACAGUGCUCCAGAAAAGAAAAAGUGUCCUUGAUAAGAAUGAUUUAUUGAACAAUUAUCUCUUUCCGCCCUCAGCUCUCUGGAACUGGACAACAGACAGAUCUGGUGAAUUAUAAUUAUGGAGUUCUCCAGAAGAACUUCCUCUCAAGGAUGCACAAUUUUCCAGUUAGUCACAAGGCAGCAUCACAAGCAAAAUGGGGCUCUCUCUUUAUUUAACAAGGCCUAUCUUCUACACACAGUUUCUGCAAUUUCCGCUUCUCCUUAUGUGUAUCUUUCUCUGCCCUUUUGUAUGUUCCACUUAUGUAGGAUUGUUUGCCCCACAGUCACACACAAUACAAUCAUCAUGCUAACCCCCUCCCCAAAAACUCCCUACUCCCUUUUCAUCUCUCCCAUUGCUCCUCCACACUGGUCCUGCGCUGGCCUGUUUGCUCCCUGAGUAAAUUAGAUCCCUGCAUGUGCUGCUCAUCUUCCCUCCCUCCACCUUCCACCAUACUCUCUUCAUGUCCACAUCUGCCUCUUGGCAAAUGCCCUGUGGAAGAGAGAUUUUUCCCAGGCUCUCCUCCCUUGUAGGUCUCUUUGUGCCUCCGCAUCCUGAGUUUCCUCUGACUCUUGUUUCUUUCUGCUUCUUGUGACAGCUAUGGUUACAGCUAACAAGCAUGGGAGGAAGGAUCUGAGGGAAAGUUGUGCUUUUGGUUCACUAAAUCCUUAGAUUUGAUUUGGGUAGUCAGAAAGUGCUAAAAAGUUUGUUUCAAUGGAACAUCCUGCAGUCCCAAAUGGGGUAAACUUAUCUUGUUUUUCAUCUGCUGUCAUGGUUAACUGGCAACUUCCAGGUACAAGGUGACUGUCUGGCAUCUCAGGUGCACACAUGAAGGCAAUUUCAGAAAGAAUGCCUAUGGAUUACAGACCAUUCAGCUGAGUUUUAUCUGGGGCUUUCUGGCACGGAAUAUGUACCAGCAUCUUAGAUCAAUUCUGGCACAUUAUUUUAAAAGUUUUUUGUUCCUGAGUUCCUUGGUACCUGAUCAUUCCAAUAUUUUCUGCCUUACAAAGUCACAGGAAAACAGGUUUGGAGCUGAGUAUUUUCAAUCACCACUGACUUGGUGACAGACACUAAACUCAUUUCACUUAGGAUUAUAGGUUGAACUCAAAUUGGGAUCCCUGAAGAGAAAGACCAGUCCUUUAUCCAGUACCUUAAGGAAAACAUUUCUUAUUUCCAUUAACAACCAGAAAAGGAAAGACAGUGCAACAGCUGGAAGAGCACUGCAAAUAUCAGGGUUACAAAGAGUAACCCAGAAACCUUUAAAAUAAUUUAAAGUGGUGAUAAAACCAGUAACACACUGCACUUCUAUUAAUGCAGUAAUCCUUAACCCUUGAACCUAACUUGUACUUACACUAAGAAGUCAGAAGAACUGUUUUUACUUGAUCUACCAAGGCAAUUUCCCAUAGUUUGAUUGGAAAUAGUGCUGAUGAUUUUCUCAUUUAAGUUAUCUACAAAGCACUAAAAAAAAGUGACUCUGCUGGAAUUAUCCUUCUAAGAAAAUAAGAAAAAAAUAGAAAUUUCUUACAACUAAGAAAUGGAUCAAGAUAACAUUGGUCUGUGAGAUUUAAAUCUAUCAAAAUAUGUGAGCAUACCACAGAUAUGAUUUCUUCAGUUCUCUGCAAGGUAACCAAAGCAAUUCCAAGAAGUCUUAUUUUAUUAGAACUCAAAUUUAUUAAGUAUGACCUAUCUAAGAUCAUAGUGGGCAGACAACUACCUUGGACGUGGGGUUAAGAGAAGAUAAAAUUCAAAAGUUUGAAAGUAAGUAAAGGAUAAGCAAGAUUCUUUGAAUGAUCAACAGCACUCCACAGGCACACAGAGACACAAAAACAGCUAAAAAGGCAAGGACAAAAUUAAACAGUAAUGAUGAUUUAUAGUAAGAUACUCUGAGACAUGAUAGAAGUCUCAGUACACCAAAAGGAAAAUCUUGUUUGCUCAAAUUAUUUGUUUCUUCUGUCUAAUGAAUGUAAUUCUAAUAUACAAGUGAUAACACUGGCAUUUCUUUGAAAUGUUGAUUCAGUUUAAUUAUGAAAAUCACCAAGGUAUUUUCUAGCUGCUGCAUCACUCCCUGUACUAAGAUUAAUCACAUCAACAUCAUUCAUUUAAUCUUCAAAGAGGAAGCAGUUGUCCACAAAAGCCUUCAAAUAGCUUCAUUAGUGCAAUUUUUCAGUCUCAAACACUUAGCUAGCAGCAUAUGAUUGAGAGUAAGGUCAUUAUAUUCAUCUAUUUCCUAAUCUAAUUUUUGUAAUGUUUCUACAUUUAAUGUAGGAAUGUGUAAGUGUGGAGUUUUUGCCUUCUCUUUGUUUGUAAAACAGCUCAAAACAUGAAGAAAAUAAUGAUUCUAAUUAUAAAAUAUUUGAUUGCUAUGGUUUUAAGUCAUGAAAUUUAAUGUACAGGCCCAUGGCCAGUUCAUUUUUUCUUUUUUCUUUUUUUAAUGUGAAAAGAAUUUAGUGUAGAAAUGCUCUAUUUUCUUGUCUCUUGUAGACAAAGAAAAACUUAGCGCAUGAGAGACGUGUCUGACUUCAGAAACUGGAAUUACAAAAGUCACUGCAAAUAAAAUUUCUUUGGUGUUUUAAAAUGCAAGAUGAAUUCUAUAUUUAAAAACAGAAGCCUCACUUAUGUUUCUCUAAUAAGACCCAUUCUUAACAUCCUUUUCUUUGAUGAAAGCAUUAAUAUUCCCUUUCCUUAUUGGAAACCAACAGGUAUCAGAGUCCCACAAAAUAACACUGUAUUGUUGAUGCACCGAUCAAAUCAUUCUUUUAAUCAUUAAAAAUUAUGCAGUUGCAAUCAAAAACAUUCUCAGAGAGACUUAGAGCAGAGCCUGGCACCAGCAGGGUGUGGUGAUAUAGUCAUUUGUAAUUACUGUACCUACUCUGAAGGGUUAUAAAAUGUGUCAGAAAGUAAAAUUUGCUGAGCCCCAUUACCAAGAAGCAAAACUUACUAACUGGUGCUUUAAACUUUGCAUCUUAUAAAGGAAUGAUUUAUUUGACUUUUGACUGGUCCACUUGCAGAAAUCAUUACAUUGCAAUAUUCAGUGACUGUGCAAAGGGGAAAAAAAGGAUAAAUCAUACAGAGACAUUCUCAAGUUAACAUCUGGCGAGCAUAUAAGGCCAAAUCUGUAAGGCAAGAUCUGCCUACGAUGGCAUAAAUAAUGGUGUGUAUUUGCAGUUUAGGCCAAGGGAUAAGGGCUUUUGAUCAUAAAAAUAGUUCAUAACCAAUUGCAAUGAGAUGAUGCAAUUGUAAAAAUUUUGUUUCCACAAACUGUAUAAAGACAAUUAUGAUAUUUUAAAUAUUAACCCCUUUUAAAUUGUUUUCAAAUAAAAUUAUAACGGCUUUUUGUAAAACCAAAUUCUAAUUGACCCAAUCAAAUUUUAAGAUAAAUUAUGAAGGUGAGAAUAACACCAGCUUGAAAAUAUCAGUUUGCCAUUUGUCCAGCUACAUGCAAAGUCACCAGAAUAAAAUGGAAUUAUAUGAAAGAGGAGCAAUAAACUGCAUUAUUUACAUGUGUUCAAUAUUAUAAUCAGAGGUAAAAAGUGUGUUUUUAAAUAUUUGUACACACAAAGUUUUAUUAUCUACUUUACAUAAUACUGUGUUAGACACACUGGGAAAUGCAAAGAUAGAAAAGAUAAACUAUCUUCUCCUGAGAAGCCUUUACUAUGGUAGAAAAGAUAGGAGCACAUGUCAUUACAAUAAGAGGAAAUGUGAGAUAAGUGACCAAAGAGGAUUUUUGUCUUAAAAAAUCCUAAGUUUUUAUCUAAGAGUUUACAAGUAGAUUCUUCUGAGCCAGAACACCAUGGAAGGUUUCCUGGCAUGAUGACAUAUGAGAUUCAAGGAAUGGGUAUUAUGUUCAAAGCUCAAGACUGGGGAGAGAAGAUUACAUUUUACAGUUUAAAAUAUUUUAUUUACCUUUCCCAACACUUAUGCAUUUGUAUCUUCUGCAGCGAAUGAUAAAAUUU
rnacentral:lncRNA from 1 species